rnacentral:rRNA from 1 species
AUUGAACGCUGGCGGCAUGCCUUACACAUGCAAGUCGAACGGCAGCACGGGAGCAAUCCUGGUGGCGAGUGGCGAACGGGUGAGUAAUAUAUCGGAACGUGCCCGGUCGUGGGGAUAACGUAGCGAAAGCUACGCUAAUACCGCAUACGAUCUACGGAUGAAAGCGGGGGAUCGCAAGACCUCGCGCGAUUGGAGCGGCCGAUAUCAGAUUAGGUAGUUGGUGAGGUAAAGGCUCACCAAGCCGACGAUCUGUAGCUGGUCUGAGAGGACGACCAGCCACACUGGGACUGAGACACGGCCCAGACUCCUACGGGAGGCAGCAGUGGGGGAAUUUUGGGACAAUGGGCGCAAGCCUGAUCCAGCAAUGCCGCGUGCAGGAU